AUGCGCAGUGGCUUUCUGGACUAGAUUAUUGUAUUUAAAUUGAUUUAAAUUUUGACAGCAUGUUCGAAUGCCCUACGGUUUUGUUUACAACUUUUAUUUGAGUAUUUACAAGACAAAUACAAUAUAUUACUCAAACAAUACAAUCAUGUAUCAAACUGAAGUAAAACAAGAAGUUGAUGAGACGACUUGCAAAA
rnacentral:lncRNA from 1 species